UGGUUUAAUUAAAAGAUAUUGAGGUUCUAAACUAUCUUAGGAUUUGAUUUAAGGUUUAAGAUUUGUUUAGGGUUUGAUUUACGUUUUAGGAUUUUAUUAGGAUUUUAUUAGGAUUUGAUUUAGAAUUUCGGAUUUAAGAUUUGAUUAGGAUUUUAUUUAGUAUUUAAGAUUUAAGAUUUAAUUAAGAUUUGAUUUAGGAUUUAAAAUUUGAUUAGGAUUUGAUUAAGAUUUGAUUAAAAUUUAAUUAGAGUUUGAUUUAGAAUCUAAAAUUUGAUUAGGAUUUGAUUUAAGAUUUAAGAUUUGAUUAGGAUUUGAUUUAGAAUUUAGGAUUUGGUUAGGAUUUGAUUAGGAUUUGAUUUAGGAUUUAAAAUUCGUCUAAGGUUUGAUUUAGAGUUUUGGAUUUGUCUAAGAUUUGAUUUAGGAAUUAAGAUUUAUGUAGAAUUUGAUUAAAGUGCAUUAGGAUUUCAAUUAGGAUUAAAUUAGAACUUGAUUG
rnacentral:lncRNA from 1 species